UCCUGUUGUCCUUAUCUGACCUUGUUGACUCUUUUUGCAUUCUAUCAGAAGAGUUACAGUUUAGCCUUUUGCUAAGUUGCAGCUUUUUCCUAUCUAGCAUCUCCAUUCGAAGGAGUAAGUUUUUUCUCUUCAGCUCAGAUGCCUUUGGGCUUAAGUCUUUCAAUGAUUGCAGCCUCUUCAUAUAUAAGGUCUCUUCAAGUUGCUGCUGGUAGCUCAUCUUCUCUACUGCUAUCUCUUUAUCCUUUUUCUUACACAAAUUUAAGCUUCGGAUGUUGUCUAUUUGCUGGUUAUACAAUCUCACCAUACUUGGCUCCAAAUC
rnacentral:lncRNA from 1 species